rnacentral:sRNA from 1 species
GUGACCUGCGGAAGGAUCAUUACAGAGUUAGGGUCUUCCAGGCCCGAUCUCCAACCCUUUGUGUACCUACCUUUGUUGCUUUGGCGGGCCCGUUGGGGCGACCCACCGGUGGCCUUUGGCUUCCGAGUGCCCGUCAGAGACCCAUCCAAACCUGUCAAUUGUGUCGUCUGAGUACCAAUUCAAUAAUUAAAACUUUCAACAACGGAUCUCUUGGUUCUGGCAUCGAUGAAGAACGCAGCGAAAUGCGAUAAGUAAUGUGAAUUGCAGAAUUCAGUGAAUCAUCGAAUCUUUGAACGCACAUUGCGCCUCUCGGUAUUCCGGGAGGCAUGCCUGUUCGAGCGUCAUUACACCACUCAAGCUCGGCUUGGUGUUGGGCCCUCGUCCCUCGCGGACGUGCCCGGAAAUCAGUGGCGGCGCAGCCCGGCUUCAAGCGCAUCAGUCGUAACAACGCUUUGGAAGUCCGGGUCUGGGUCUGCCAGACAACCCCAUCAUUUUAUCAUGGUUGACCUCGGAUCAGGUAGGGAUACCCGCUGAACUUAAGCAUAUCAAUAAGCGGAGGAAAAGAAACCAACAGGGAUUGCCUCAGUAACGGCGAGUGAAGCGGCAACAGCUCAAAUUUGAAAUCUGGCUCUUUCAGGGUCCGAGUUGUAAUUUGCAGAGGAUGCUUCGGGUUCGGCUCCGGUCUAAGUUCCUUGGAACAGGACGUCAUAGAGGGUGAGAAUCCCGUAUGUGACCGGUCGCCACGCCCGUGUGAAGCUCCUUCGACGAGUCGAGUUGUUUGGGAAUGCAGCUCAAAAUGGGUGGUAAAUUUCAUCUAAAGCUAAAUAUUGGCCAGAGACCGAUAGCGCACAAGUAGAGUGAUCGAAAGAUGAAAAGCACUUUGGAAAGAGAGUCAAACAGUACGUGAAAUUGUUGAAAGGGAAGCGCUUGCAAUCAGACUUGCCCGCGGGUGAUCAGCCGGUAUUCUUACCGGUGCACUCGCCCGUGGUCAGGCCAGCAUCGGUUCGGGCGGCUGGAUAAAGUCCACCGGAACGUAGCUCCCCUCGGGGAGUGUUAUAGCCGGAGGUGCCAUGCAGCCCGCCCGGACCGAGGACCGCGCU